rnacentral:rRNA from 1 species
UAGGGAAUAUUAGUAAUGGGCGCAAGCCUGAACUAGCAACGCCGCGUGUGCGAAGAAGGCCUUCGGGUUGUAAAGCACUUUUUGAGAGGAUGAGGAAGGACGGUACUCUCAGAAUAAGUCUCGGCUAACUACGUGCCAGCAGCCGCGGUAACACGUAGGAGGCAAACGUUAUCCGGAUUUACUGGGCGUAAAGCGCGUGUAGGUGGUUUGGUAAGUAGGGCGUGAAAGCUCCUGGCUCAACUGGGAGAGGACGUUCUAACCUGCCGAGCUUGAGGAUGGUGGAGGGAGGGGGAAU